rnacentral:rRNA from 1 species
AGAGAUGUGUGAUGACGCAUAUCAAUAAGCGGAGGAAAAGAAACUAACAAGGAUUCCCUUAGUAACGGCGAGUGAAGCGGGAAGAGCUCAAAUUUGAAAUCUUCAAGGUUUUACCUUGACGAAUUGUAGUUUAAAGAAGUGUUUUCUGUUGGAGUUUUGGUAAAAGUUCUUUGGAAUAGGACAUCAUAGAGGGUGAGAAUCCCGUAUUUGACCAUUACUUUCAGCUGUGUGAUACACUUUCAAAGAGUCGGAUUGUUUGGGAAUGCAGUCCAAAAUGGGUGGUAAAUUUCAUCUAAAGCUAAAUAUUGGCGAGAGACCGAUAGCGAACAAGUACCGUGAGGGAAAGAUGAAAAGAACUUUGAAAAGAGAGUUAAACAGUACGUGAAAUUGUCAAAAGGGAAGCGUUUGACACCAGUGUUGUUUUUCCGAAAAUCAAUUAUGAAUGUUUUAUUUUUGAGGAGUUAUGACUUCAUCGGCUUGCUCCUUUCUUUAUGAAACUUUCUUAAUGCACUUUUCGGUUAACAAGUCAACAUCAGUUUCUUUUGUUGUAAAAGGGUCAUUGGAAGGUGGCUUUCACUUCGGUGAAAGUGUUUAUAGCCUUUGGCUUCUGCAAUCGGAAAGAUUGAGGUCUGCAGCGUAGAUCCUUCGGGGUUAGAUACGUAGAUGCUAAGUUAUAGUUUUUUAUAGACAACUUGUUGACUAUGAUUAAUCAUGUAGCUUACUCGUUUGCGCUAUUUUACCUACGCUUAGGAUGUUGAGUCGUAGAGCACGCAG